UGCCGCCGCACAAAGUCCAACCCUAGAUCCAGCCCCGAUCCGCGGCCAUGGCGACGCGCCGGGCCCUCUCCUCGCUCCUCCGAUCGGCGUCCCGCGCCCGCGCGGCCUCCCCGUCGCCGCGCCCGCGCCCGGCGCCGCUCCACCGCCCGUCCCCGGCCGGCUACCUCUUCAACCGCGCCGCCGCCUACGCCUCCGCCGCCGCGGCCGAGGCCCCGGCCCCGGCCGACAAGCUGCCCCCCACCUCCGACAAGUACGUCGGCGCCAAGAUCACCGACGAGUUCACCGGCGCCGGCUCCGUCGGCCAGGUCUGCCAGGUCAUCGGCGCCGUCGUCGACGU
rnacentral:lncRNA from 1 species